CGAUUCUGGUUUCUCUUUCAUUAUUACGCACAAGCCUUUCGCCUUUUACUAAAGACUUCCGUGGAGAGGAACACUUACGAGUUCAACGUAUUUUGGAGGGGCUUUGCUUCUUACAGAGCC